rnacentral:rRNA from 1 species
AGAGUUUGAUCCUGGCUCAGGAUGAACGCUAGCUACAGGCUUAACACAUGCAAGUCGAGGGGAAACGACAUCGAAAGCUUGCUUUUGAUGGGCGUCGACCGGCGUACGGGUGAGUAACGCGUAUCCAACCUGCCCACCACCCCCCCUUGGGGAUAACCUUGCGAAAGUAAGACUAAUACCCAAUGAUAUCUCUAGAAGACAUCUGAAAGAGAUUAAAGAUUUAUCGGUGAUGGAUGGGGAUGCGUCUGAUUAGCUUGUUGGCGGGGUAACGGCCCACCAAGGCAACGAUCAGUAGGGGUUCUGAGAGGAAGGUCCCCCACAUUGGAACUGAGACACGGUCCAAACUCCUACGGGAGGCAGCA